CACGUAGGGCGCAAGCGUUGUCCGGAAUUAUUGGGCGUAAAGAGCUCGUAGGCGGUCUGUUGCGUCCGCUGUGAAAACCCGGGGCUUAACCCCUGGCUUGCAGUGGAUACGGACAGACUAGAGGUAGGUAGGGGAGAAUGGAAUUCCCGGUGUAGCGGUGAAAUGCGCAGAUAUCGGGAGGAACACCGGUGGCGAAGGCGGCAUCCUGGACCGACACUGACGCUGAGGAGCGAAAGCCAGGGGAGCAAACGGG
rnacentral:rRNA from 1 species